GUUCUCCGUUCCAGCAGAGGAUAUUGAUUUGACACGAGACCAUGGCAACCAGACCUGAACAGCAGCAGGUGGCAGGCACCAUGGAUGGAGUGGAAUGUGUACUCUCUGGAGGAUCUGUAGUGAGAGGAGGACCCAAGGGUGCUUCAUGGGUCAGCUUGGUGACAGAGCACACAGAGAUGGAGGGCACUGUGCCUGAGUCUCUCACAGCGGUUACUGCCGAGGAUCCAUGGAAGACCUCAUCAUUAACAGAGCAGUCUGAAGUACACAAGCCAUCCGCUGUGUGUCCAGAGACCACUCUGCGAAAAUUUACUCCCUCCCUCACCCUGUCACUUUUUCCUUGGGCCUCUGCUCUGAGAC